rnacentral:rRNA from 2 species
CGCUGGCGGUAGGCCUAACACAUGCAAGUCGAACGGCAGCACAGGAGAGCUUGCUCUCUGGGUGGCGAGUGGCGGACGGGUGAGGAAUACAUCGGAAUCUACUUUUUCGUGGGGGAUAACGUAGGGAAACUUACGCUAAUACCGCAUACGACCUACGGGUGAAAGCAGGGGAUCUUCGGACCUUGCGCGAUUGAAUGAGCCGAUGUCGGAUUAGCUAGUUGGCGGGGUAAAGGCCCACCAAGGCGACGAUCCGUAGCUGGUCUGAGAGGAUGAUCAGCCACACUGGAACUGAGACACGGUCCAGACUCCUACGGGAGGCAGCAGUGGGGAAUAUUGGACAAUGGGCGCAAGCCUGAUCCAGCCAUACCGCGUGGGUGAAGAAGGCCUUCGGGUUGUAAAGCCCUUUUGUUGGGAAAGAAAUCCAGCUGGUUAAUACCCGGUUGGGAUGACGGUACCCAAAGAAUAAGCACCGGCUAACUUCGUGCCAGCAGCCGCGGUAAUACGAAGGGUGCAAGCGUUACUCGGAAUUACUGGGCGUAAAGCGUGCGUAGGUGGUCGUUUAAGUCCGUUGUGAAAGCCCUGGGCUCAACCUGGGAACUGCACUG